CAAAUGUAAUGGCAUGUCGUUGACCCUGGUGCUCAGCAACACAUAUUUCAAAUCCCUGAAGAUUAAUAGGGAAGAUGCUUACAGCUCUCACAACAGCUGCUGGAAAGUGUUCCUAUCUCAGGUUUUAAUUACACGUAUUUAUACAGUAAAAAAUUCCUAAAUGCAGCAUAGCCUGUAGUAUGCAACAAUUUUGAGCAUUUAUGAGAUUCAGGCAAUUAAGAGUCUAAACUUUCAAAUGUUUCCAGAUGGCACACUGAUUAACAAUUGUGCGAAUUUAAUAUUUGUUUAAAUGCACUACUCUGUGAAACACUUCUUAAUAGUAGAUGAACGCGUUGGAAUGAAUCUAGGAACAACUUUUCUUCAAGCACAACUUGCCUCCUUGCCUGAAGAAGUGGAAAUCUUAUUAGCUGAUUAUAUAGACCAAAAGCAGAAGCAGAGAAGUGACACAGGUCCCAUGGUAUUCAUGCAAGCCACUUACAACAUCAGUCUCCCUGCUCUUGCAAGUGAACCUACUUGUAAGGACAUUUCCUUGGGGCUAAUGGCUUUAUGAAUGUUGACAUCUGUUGCAUGCAGUAAAUUGAAGGUUUCAAAGCCGGAAACAUUCAAGUUGGAGCAGUUUUUGAAACUCUUCAUAAUCUCCUGGUUUUCAAAUUAAGCAAAGGAAGGUUAUACGUACACAGUCCUGUAAGGAAUUUAGAAGGAAACCUUAAAAAUUAAAAUAGCAAACUGAAAUUGUGUGAAAUGAUUUUAGUAGAACCAGGAGAAACAAUGGAAUCCUACCCCUAGGCACGGAUUCCUGAACAUCUGUAAGGGAAAUGUAUGAAGUAAAUUAUGUGGUGUGUUGGGUGUGAUUUUAAGGACUGUGUUUCUAGCUUGGAAGCAAGAACAGAUAAUCUCAUCAUUUGCUUCCACGUGGGAAUAAUACACAAAAGGAAAAUGUAUGAGGAGCAGCCAAAAGAGGGUAAAAUAUGAAUGCUAUCUAAAAGAAGAAGGAAUUCUGUGCUUAAUUUAACAGCUGGUUAAUGGUCUAGAAUGGACACAGUAGCAACUAUGUUCUAGAGCCCAGAGCCUGGACACUACUUUUUCUUGCAAGUUACAUGACAUCUUUGAUAAGCCACUUGCCCACUGUGCUUUUCAACUCUUUGCCUAGUUGGACUGCGAUUGAUGGAGACAAGCAAUUUUCUUUCUGUUUCUUUGACCUUAGUCCUGUAUAAGGUUUUAACUGCUAAAAAUGUCUAAUAUAUCCAUGUCGGCAUUUGGUAGGUUCUGUUUGCUGUCAAAAUUGAACUUUUAAUGACCAAUUUAGUUUUUACUUUAAUGAGAUACUGAGAUUGUGUUGCAAAAAUUUAUAUAUAUGCAAACUCUACUUGUCAUUGAAUUGCUGUAUUAUGGUAGUAGCAUGUGAAGAAUUUUACCUGUUCUAUUAUUUUACAGAAAUUUUGCAUCAGCUUCCCCCAUUUAUUUCUACUUUUUUUUCAGUGUCAGGGGAUACUGAUUUCAUUCCCUUCUUUGUUAUGACAGAAAUGAGUUGAUUUUUUUUUUCCAGUAGCAGUCAUGAGGACCAGAUUUUAAUGCCAGUGUUAUCUGGUCCAGAAUUAUUAUUAUUGAAGGAGGGAGGUGAGGAUGAAGAGGGUGCCUCACACUCAGAAGCACACAAAGGUGUCCUGUAUUACCUGACAGUGGACAAACUCUCCCUAAUGCAGCCUCUUAAUGAACAAUCAUAGUUUAUGAAGUUUUGUGAAAACUCCUUAAUUUUCACAAAGUAAUUUUGAGGAUAGCACCAUAUUUUUUUUUAGAGCGUAACAAUUACACUUAUUCCUUAAUAGCUUGACAGUACAGCUAAUGUGAGGAAAAAAAAAUAAUAUAUAUAUAUAGUUUCCAAGAAAAAAAAAAAACACCUUUUCAAUGUAGGAAGGUAAUUAGCAUAAGCUUUCCUACCUGAAUUCUAAUGAAUUCAUUCCUAUUUUUCCUUAGAGUUUUAUCACCACUCACUUUUCCAGAUACUGCAUGUGAUAUAUUAGUCUAUUUGGAUUUGAUAGGCAAUAAAAACAGACCAGUCAGUCUGUUACUUCUAUAACCUCUUGCAUUUAAGAAAUAAUAUAAAUAGCAUAAAGACAGAGGGAGAAAUCAAUGUGUCAAUUAUUUAUAUAGAAAAAAAUCUAGUAAAAUGAAAUUGCUUAUUUCCUAAAG
ensembl:lncRNA